rnacentral:rRNA from 1 species
GACGAACGCUGGCGGCGUGCCUAACACAUGCAAGUCGAGCGAAUGAAGUUCCUUCGGGAACGGAUUUAGCGGCGGACGGGUGAGUAACACGUGGGCAACCUGCCUCAUAGAGGGGAAUAGCCUUCCGAAAGGGAGAUUAAUACCGCAUAAGAUUGUAGUACCGCAUGGUACAGCAAUUAAAGGAGCAAUCCGCUAUGAGAUGGGCCCGCGGCGCAUUAGCUAGUUGGUGAGGUAACGGCUCACCAAGGCGACGAUGCGUAGCCGACCUGGGAGGGUGAUCGGCCACAUUGGGACUGGGACACGGCCCAGACUCCUACGGGAGGCAGCAGUGGGGAAUAUUGCACAAUGGGGGAAACCCUGAUGCAGCAACGCCGCGUGAGUGAUGACGGCCUUCGGGUUGUAAAGCUCUGUCUUCAGGGACGAUAAUGACGGUACCUGAGGAGGAAGCCACGGCUAACUACGUGCCAGCAGCCGCGGUAA